rnacentral:rRNA from 1 species
AUAAUGGGUCAGCGACUUAUAUUCUGUAGCAAGGUUAACCGAAUAGGGGAGCCGAAGGGAAACCGAGUCUUAACUGGGCGUUAAGUUGCAGGGUAUAGACCCGAAACCCGGUGAUCUAGCCAUGGGCAGGUUGAAGGUUGGGUAACACUAACUGGAGGACCGAACCGACUAAUGUUGAAAAAUUAGCGGAUGACUUGUGGCUGGGGGUGAAAGGCCAAUCAAACCGGGAGAUAGCUGGUUCUCCCCGAAAGCUAUUUAGGUAGCGCCUCGUGAAUUCAUCUCCGGGGGUAGAGCACUGUUUCGGCAAGGGGGUCAUCCCGACUUACCAACCCGAUGCAAACUGCGAAUACCGGAGAAUGUUAUCACGGGAGACACACGGCGGGUGCUAACGUCCGUCGUGAAGAGGGAAACAACCCAGACCGCCAGCUAAGGUCCCAAAGUCAUGGUUAAGUGGGAAACGAUGUGGGAAGGCCCAGACAGCCAGGAUGUUGGCUUAGAAGCAGCCAUCAUUUAAAGAAAGCGUAAUAGCUCACUGGUCGAGUCGGCCUGCGCGGAAGAUGUAACGGGGCUAAACCAUGCACCGAAGCUGCGGCAGCGACGCUGAUGCGUUGUUGGGUAGGGGAGCGUUCUGUAAGCCUGUGAAGGUGUGCUGUGAGGCAUGCUGGAGGUAUCAGAAGUGCGAAUGCUGACAUAAGUAACGAUAAAGCGGGUGAAAAGCCCGCUCGCCGGAAGACCAAGGGUUCCUGUCCAACGUUAAUCGGGGCAGGGUGAGUCGACCCCUAAGGCGAGGCCGAAAGGCGUAGUCGAUGGGAAACAGGUUAAUAUUCCUGUACUUGGUGUUACUGCGAAGGGGGGACGGAGAAGGCUAUGUUGGCCGGGCGACGGUUGUCCCGGUUUAAGCGUGUAGGCUGGUUUUCCAGGCAAAUCCGGAAAAUCAAGGCUGAGGCGUGAUGACGAGGCACUACGGUGCUGAAGCAACAAAUGCCCUGCUUCCAGGAAAAGCCUCUAAGCAUCAGGUAACAUCAAAUCGUACCCCAAACCGACACAGGUGGUCAGGUAGAGAAUACCAAGGCGCUUGAGAGAACUCGGGUGAAGGAACUAGGCAAAAUGGUGCCGUAACUUCGGGAGAAGGCACGCUGAUAUGUAGGUGAAGUCCCUCGCGGAUGGAGCUGAAAUCAGUCGAAGAUACCAGCUGGCUGCAACUGUUUAUUAAAAACACAGCACUGUGCAAACACGAAAGUGGACGUAUACGGUGUGACGCCUGCCCGGUGCCGGAAGGUUAAUUGAUGGGGUCAGCGCAAGCGAAGCUCUUGAUCGAAGCCCCGGUAAACGGCGGCCGUAACUAUAACGGUCCUAAGGUAGCGAAAUUCCUUGUCGGGUAAGUUCCGACCUGCACGAAUGGCGUAAUGAUGGCCAGGCUGUCUCCACCCGAGACUCAGUGAAAUUGAACUCGCUGUGAAGAUGCAGUGUACCCGCGGCAAGACGGAAAGACCCCGUGAACCUUUACUAUAGCUUGACACUGAACAUUGAGCCUUGAUGUGUAGGAUAGGUGGGAGGCUUUGAAGUGUGGACGCCAGUCUGCAUGGAGCCGGCCUUGAAAUACCACCCUUUAAUGUUUGAUGUUCUAACGUUGACCCGUGAUCCGGGUUGCGGACAGUGUCUGGUGGGUAGUUUGACUGGGGCGGUCUCCUCCUAAAGAGUAACGGAGGAGCACGAAGGUUGGCUAAUCCUGGUCGGACAUCAGGAGGUUAGUGCAAUGGCAUAAGCCAGCUUGACUGCGAGCGUGACGGCGCGAGCAGGUGCGAAAGCAGGUCAUAGUGAUCCGGUGGUUCUGAAUGGAAGGGCCAUCGCUCAACGGAUAAAAGGUACUCCGGGGAUAACAGGCUGAUACCGCCCAAGAGUUCAUAUCGACGGCGGUGUUUGGCACCUCGAUGUCGGCUCAUCACAUCCUGGGGCUGAAGUAGGUCCCAAGGGUAUGGCUGUUCGCCAUUUAAAGUGGUACGCGAGCUGGGUUUAGAACGUCGUGAGACAGUUCGGUCCCUAUCUGCCGUGGGCGCUGGAGAACUGAGGGGGGCUGCUCCUAGUACGAGAGGACCGGAGUGGACGCAUCACUGGUGUUCGGGUUGUCAUGCCAAUGGCACUGCCCGGUAGCUAAAUGCGGAAGAGAUAAGUGCUGAAAGCAUCUAAGCACGAAACUUGCCCCGAG